rnacentral:rRNA from 1 species
CCGAAUUCGUCGACAACCUGGUUGAUCCUGCCACUGGUAUAUGCUUGUCUCAAAGACUAAGCCAUGCAAGUGCCUGUAUGAGUGUUUAUACAACGAAACUGCGAAUGGCUCGGUAAAACAGCAAUAAUUUAUUCGGGGGUAAUACUACUCGGAUAACCGUAGUAAAGCUAGAGCUAAUACGUGCAGCGAAGGCGAGAAACGUCUCGUGGUACUAAGUAUUAGGUACAAACCAAAUAUUUUUGGUGAUUCAUACUUAUCUUCUGAUCGCAGGAAACUGCGACGCCCCGAAUAAAUUUCUGACCUAUCAACUAUGAUGGUAAGGUAGGGUCUUACCAUGGUUGUGACGGGUAACGGACCGUGGGUGCGGGAUUCCGGAGAGGGAGCCUGAGAAACGGCUACCACAUCCAAGGAAGGCAGCAGGCGCGCAACUUACCCAAUCCGAACUUCGGGAGGUAGUGACAAUACAUAUCAAUAGGGGGACCAAUGGUCUUUCUAAUUGGAAUGAAUACAAUGUAAACACAUUAAUGAGGAACCAGCAGAGGGCAAGUCUGGUGCCAGCAGCCGCGGUAAUUCCAGCUCUGUAAGCGUAUACCAAAGUUGUUGCAGUUAAAACGCUCGUAGUCGGAUUUUGGCGUGUUUCUGUUGAUGCAGCAUUUUGCAGUUGACGCAGGAGCGCCUUUGUGGAAGGGGGUGUGGUGGUACUUUAUUGUAUUGCUGCAUGUCCGCCACUGUUUACUGUGAAAAAAUUAGAGUGUUCAAAGCAGGCGAUUGCCAUGAAUAUAUUAGCAUGGAAUAAUAGAAUAGGACCUGGUGCCGUUCUAUUGGUUUGUCGGUCUCAGGUAAUGAUUAACAGGGACGGUCGGGGGCAUUUGUAUUCCAGCGCUAGAGGUGAAAUUCUUGGAUUGCUGGAAGACAAACAGCUGCGAAAGCGUCUGCCAAGGACGUUUUCAUUGAUCAAGAACGAAAGUAAGGGGAUCGAAGACGAUCAGAUACCGUCGUAGUCUUUACUAUAAACGAUGAGAACUGGGGAUCGGACGUGGCCUUUUUUGGUACGUUCGGCACCCUCCGGGAAACCAAAGUAUUUGCUUUCUGGGGGGAGUAUGGUCGCAAGUCUGAAACUUAAAGGAAUUGACGGAAGGGCAUCACCGGGUGUGGAGCCUGCGGCUUAAUUUGACUCAACACGGGAAAACUUACCAGGUCCAGACAUAGUGAGGAUUGACAGAUUGAGAGCUCUUUCUUGAUUUUAUGGUUGGUGGUGCAUGGCCGUUCUUAGUUGGUGGAGUGAUCUGUCUGGUUAAUUCCGUUAACGAGCGAGACCUGGGCGUGCUAAAUAGAGCAUGUUAUUCUUGUAAUAGCAUUUUUUCUUCUUAGACGGACUGUAGGCUUUUAGCCUAUGGAAGCUCCAGGCAAUAACAGGUCUGAGAUGCCCUUAGAUGUUCUGGGCCGCACGCGUGCUACACUGAACGGUUCAACGGGCGAGGUAGUGCGAAAGCAUGACCCAAUCCCUAAAUCCGUUCGUGCUGGGGAUAGAAGCUUGCAAUUUUCCUUCUUGAACGAGGAAUACCUUGUAAGCGUGAGUCAUCAUCUCGCGCUGAAUACGUCCCUGCCCUUUGUACACACCGCCCGUCGCUCCUACCGAUUGAGUGGUCCGGUGAGGCCUUGGGAGAGGGAGGAGGAUUGUGUUUUACACAAACCUUUUUCCUUAAACUUGGUCAAACCUUACUACUUAGAGGAAGGAGAAGUCGUAACAAGGUUUCCGUAGGUGAACCUGCAGAAGGAUCAAGCUUGGAUCCCGGG